AGCCAGUCCCUGGUCCUGCUUCUCCUGGGCUCUUCUCUGGAGUCCCAUGAUGUCUGCUUCGGCUGUUUGUAAUUUCCUCCUGCAGGCUGCUUGGGAUGUUUCCUGAGCCAGAGGUCCCAGCAUGCCUUGCAGCUAGACUCGGCCAAGUUAUGACACAUUCACACUUCCCUGAAAAAGAAAAAGGGCAGCCAUACAGCUUCUGGAGACAUUAAUGCAUCUCUCAUCCCUCAUCAGAGACAUUUCUACUUGCAGAAGAUGAUUAACCACAACUGGUCUAUGUGUAGAAAAUAUAAGACUGCAGAAUGCUCAGUCCUACGUGAAACAACUACACCAUACCCCAUUCCCUGAAGGCUCAUUGACCACUGUGGAAGAGAAUGGAGAAAGAGCAGAAGAGUCAGAGGAAACAAGGAAGCAAUGUCUUCCAGAAAGAGCUGGCCAACUGCACAUAUGAACUCAUAGUGUAUCUGAGAGCAUGGCCACAGGACCUGUGCAAGCUCAUGCCAGACAAAAUCCCAGUAUGUAGAGAGGAGGUGAGCACAAAGUUGUGCCCUUAUCCCAGGAGCUCUGGGAAAUUGUUGGCUUCUAGAGGAGACAGAGACAGGCAGACAGACAGACAGACAGACAGACACAGACAGAGACAGAGAGAGAGACAGAGACAGAGAGAGACAGAG